rnacentral:rRNA from 1 species
CCUACGGGAGGCAGCAGUCGAGAAUCAUUCACAAUGGGGGAAACCCUGAUGGAGCGACGCCGCGUGGGGGAAUGAAGGUCUUCGGAUUGUAAACCCCUGUUAUGUGGGAGCAAAUUAAAAAGAUAGUACCACAAGAGGAAGAGACGGUUAACUCUGUGCCAGCAGCCGCGGUAAUACAGAGGACUUAAGCGUUGUUCGGAGUCACUGGGCGUAAGGCGUGCGUAGGCUGUUUCGUAAGUCGUGUGUGAAAGGCGCGGGCUCAACCCGCGGACGGCACAUGAUACUGCGAGACUAGAGUAAUGGAGGGGGAACCGGAAUUCUCGGUGUAGCAGUGAAAUGCGUAGAUAUCGAGAGGAACACUCGUGGCGAAGGCAGGUUCCUGGACAUUAACUGACGCUGAGGCACGAAGGCCAGGGGAGCGAAAGGGAUUAGAUACCCCAGUAGUC